GGACAACCUGCCCUCGGGUGGGGGAUAACCCCGGGAAACUGGGGCUAAUCCCCCAUAGGGGAUGGGUACUGGAAUGUCCCAUCUCCGAAAGCGCUUAGCGCCCGAGGAUGGGUCUGCGGCGGAUUAGGUUGUUGGUGGGGUAACGGCCCACCAAGCCGAAGAUCCGUACGGGCCAUGAGAGUGGGAGCCCGGAGAUGGACCCUGAGACACGGGUCCAGGCCCUACGGGGCGCAGCAGGCGCGAAACCUCCGCAAUGCGGGAAACCGCGACGGGGUCAGCCGGAGUGCUCGCGCAUCGCGCGGGCUGUCGGGGUGCCUAAAAAGCACCCCAUAGCAAGGGCCGGGCAAGGCCGGUGGCAGCCGCCGCGGUAAUACCGGCGGCCCGAGUGGCGGCCACUUUUAUUGGGCCUAAAGCGUCCGUAGCCGGGCUGGUAAGUCCUCCGGGAAAUCUGGUCGCUUAACGAUCAGACUGCCGGAGGAUACUGCCAGCCUAGGGACCGGGAGAGGCCGGGGGUAUUCCCGGGGUAGGGGUGAAAUCCUGUAAUCCCGGGAGGACCACCUGUGGCGAAGGCGCCCGGCUGGAACGGGUCCGACGGUGAGGGACGAAGGCCAGGGGAGCGAACCGGAUUAGAUACCCGGGUAGUCCUGGCUGUAAACGAUGCGGACUAGGUGUCACCGAAGCUACGAGCUUCGGUGGUGUCGGAGGGAAGCUGUUA
rnacentral:rRNA from 1 species